UUUAAUUGAUGUGGAGAAGACAAAGUCAAAUGGGUCUGUGCUCAAUCGGGCCAAGAAAGGGAAGUGUUGGGGUGGCAUGGGGAAAACUUAUUUCCCAGCGUUCUCAGGUUAACUUUUUUCGAUCACCACUUAUUUAUAAUUAUUUCUUUUACUUCCAACUUAGAUUUUUAUUCCAUCUGUUUGAUUGCAAAAUUUGCAAAAUAAAAAUAAAAAUAAAAAGAUGGUAGGAUGGAUAUUUGGUAAAACAGAAGCUGUUGUUGAAUCUGAACGUCUAAUUGUAUAUUUCCCUAAUGUCUUUUGACUUUUUAAAACUCAUAUGAAUCUUGGUGUUUUUUUCUCCUUUUUGGGAAUCAUUUUCUUCUUUGAUAAAGGACUACUUGCCAUGGGAAAUGUAAGUAUAAGUGACACUGCCAACAUUUUAUGGCUCAGUUCUUAUUAUUUGCUCUUACUAUUUUGCUUAUUGAUUCUUUUGUUCUUGCUUAACAUGGGGUUGUUUUGGUGAUACUGAAUCAGAUCCUGUUCUUAUCAGGGGUGAUGUUAACCAUUGGACUGCAGUCCUCCCUACAGCUCUUCAUGAAACGCAACAAUUUUAAGGUUUUAUUCUCUCUCUCUAUUGUUUAUGCUAAUUUUACUUCUUGAAACCAGGUUAGUUCGCCUUCUAUUUUGGUUAGGGUUUAUCUAAAUUCCCACAAAUAUCUAUAUUUAAGUACAUGUGCAUGAAUUUCAAAAAUCAUUGAAAGAUACACCUCGAUCCUUCGCUCACUACAGAUGAAAUUCCUCAACAAGAUCGCACGAUGAGGAGUCCGCGGCUCCUCUGCCCCAUCCUCAGUCGGGAGAUGAACAAAGAACGCCCACCACAUCGAGGUAUCAGUAUCUCGAUCCAUUUUACUUUUUUGCUACUGGAUCCAUUUUAUUAAAUACUAUAUGUUUCUCAAUUUUAUAAUUCAUAAUUGGAUUGUUUUUGCACUGUUUGGUUAAUGAGAAGAUGUAGGGAAAACAAUUCAUAACCAACCCAAUAGAAGAACGAGUCAAAACCGCUUUAAGAUUCACUUUUCUUCCAAUAGGGACUCCAUCCAUAUUGAUCUUCACAAACAAUCCUUUACAACAAUUUUCCACCUUUCUUUCACUGGCAAUCUUCUUUGGGACCACAUGCUGUGACUCGGGUACGGGCGACAGUUUUGAAGAGCUGCUACUUGCAAGAUUCUUCCUAAAUGAACGAAUUGGAGGCCAUCCAACAACUGGAGCGGGAGUAAUUUUGCUGUUUCAUUAUUUAAUUUUGGGAUCAUCAAGUGAAAAUUAGCACAAAUUAGUUAGAUUGUCUAGAGGAUUAUAGAUAAAUUAGUUAGAUUGUCUAGCACAAAUUAGUUAGAUUGUCUAGAGGAUAUUAUAGAUAAAUUAGUUAGAUUGUCUAGAGGUUUAAUUUCUUUUACAUUUUUGGCAUUCCUGCCUCCUAAAUGGAUUAAGUUUUCUGAUCGUUAUUGUUAUUAAUUCAAUUACCAGCUCCAUUAAUGCUAUUAAUUCAAUUACCAGCUCCUUGAUCAACUUGGAUGGCUCCAUUGUUAUUAAUUCCUUUUGUCAGCUGGACACACGUGAGUUUUCCAAUUGAGCAAGUUAACUCUUAAUUAAUUAAGAGUUGACUCAUUGAAUUUUGCAAUUGAGAGGUGAGUUUUGGAUCAUUCUUACUUCCUUUAUAUAUUAGUAUUGAUUUGUGAUUGAUUUGCAUCUCAGGUAAUGAUCAUCUGCUCAAAUGUCUUGCAAAAAAAAAUAAAUUUGCACAUCACCUGUUUGAUAUGUUGUCUAUGAAGAAUCGAUCAAUAAGAUAAGUUAGUCUACUGCCACACAGUGACUGGUGCGCUAUUUAAAUUUUCGGAAAGAUUGUGGUCAGCUCUCUGUUUGCAUAUUAUACCCUAGGAAUAGUUUUUAGGAAUUUGGAUGAAAUGAAUUGUUUUCCUUACAAUUGCAAGAGAUUUUCUAACCAACAAUUGUGUAGCAAGGAAGAGAAAUACUCCCUAUACAGGGGUUGGUCUUUGAAUUCCUUUUGUCAGGUUUAUUUUUAGUUGUGAGUUUGUUUCUUUGUUUCGAAAAAAGGUCUUGGGUCUUGCUAUUUAUUUUUGGCAGUCCCAUAUCUUCCUAUGUACUUGCCUUGCAAUCUUUGGUGCAUUGUUUUAUUUUAUAGGGAUGAAGAACUCAAUUCCAAGGAAACAAAAUCAAAAGAAGACCUACCAAACUAAUGACAACGUAAAUGUUUGGACGAUAUAAUAUUGUAUUUUUUGUGGUACUUAAAUUUGAGGAUGUAAAAUUUUUGUUCGAAUUUUGUAAACAAAUUUGGCCAUUCUUUAUGUUGUAAAUCUCCUAUGGCUUGAACUUCUUUUGGACAAAUUAACUACAUUUAUAAGUCUUUUUUAGGGUAUACUCUUUGGUAAAGAUGAGUUUGAAGUCUAAUAUAUACAUUCUCUUUAUCUUUUUGUUGUAAUUUUUAAGGUAAUAUAUCUCUUAAUUUUAUGGUAAUUUAACAAAUUUAUAUUUAUUGUGUAUAUUGAGUUCUUUUUUUUACAUAAAUUGUGUAUUUCGAGUUUUUUUGACAUAAUUAUUA
rnacentral:lncRNA from 1 species